rnacentral:rRNA from 1 species
AUUGAACGCUGGCGGCAGGCCUAACACAUGCAAGUCGAGCGAGCGGCUGACGGGUGAGUAAUGUAUGGGGACUGCCCGAUAGAGGGGGAUAACUACUGGAAACGGUGGCUAAUACCGCAUACUAUCGGAGAACCCAUAUGGGAUUAGCUAGUAGGUGGGGUAAAGGCUCACCUAGGCGACGAUCGCUAGCUGGUCUGAGAGGAUGAUCAGCAACACUGGGACGGCGACACGGCCCAGACUCCUACGGAGGCAGAAGUGGGGAAUAUUGCACAAUGGGCGAAAGCCUGAUGCAGCGACGCCGCGUGGGGGAUGAAGGCUUUCGGGUUGUAAACCUCUUUCGCAAUCGAACGGGUAGGUGGAGAAGAAGCGCCGGCUAACUACGUGCCAGCAGCCGCGGUAAUAC